GAUACACAGACCUCUGGGACAAUCUGCGUGGAGAAUCAUGGUUUUUCCAGUUUUUCCGGUGUGGCAGAUUUGACAAACAUAAAAGCUGCCAUCAGUGGCCGAUCCUCCCCAGCAGCUCGGCAGGUUAAAAGAAGAAACAGAGAUCGGGUGGCUGCUGAGCGUGACACUGUCCACACUGCCAUUUCAGCUGACCACCUGGAUUGGAGGCCGACUUUGUCAAUAAAGUUGAGGUUAAGUAACA